ensembl:misc_RNA Metazoa_SRP Metazoan signal recognition particle RNA
GCUGGGUGUAGUGGUGCAUGCUUGUAGUUCCAGCUACAAGGCUGUGGCUGGAGGAUGGCUUGAGGCCAGGAGUUCUGGGCUGUAGCGCGCUAUGCCAAUCAGGCGUGUACACUAAGUUCAGCAUCGAUAAGGUGACCUCCCGGGAGUGGAGGACCACCAGGUUGCCUAAGGAAGGACGAACUGGCCGAGGUAGAAAUGAAGCAGGUUAAAACUCCCGUGCUGGUCAGUAGUGGGAUCACACCUGUGUAUAGCUAUGGCACUCCAGCCCGGGCAACACAAUAAGACCCCAUAU